GGGCCAAUAGCUCAGUUGGCAGAGCCCCCGGCUCAUAACCGGAUGGUCCCAGGUUCGAAUCCUGGUUGGCCCA
rnacentral:tRNA from 1 species